GCCAGUGUGGCAUAGUGGGAUGAGUGUUGGACUAUGGCUCUGGAGAUCAGGGUUUGAUUCCCUGCUCAACCA